AGCUGGCUGGCGCAGCGGAAGCGUAGGUUGCCAAAAUUCGCCCUUUCCAUUCACACAACACUAACACUCUUUACAGGCGCCGGGCUCAUAACCCGGAGGACGGUGGAUCGAAACCACCGCCAGCUA
rnacentral:tRNA from 1 species